UGGGGAAUAUUGCACAAUGGGCGCAAGCCUGAUGCAGCCAUGCCGCGUGUGUGAAGAAGGCCUUCGGGUUGUAAAGCACUUUCAGCGAGGAGGAAGGUGGUGAACUUAAUACGUUCAUCAAUUGACGUUACUCGCAGAAGAAGCACCGGCUAACUCCGUGCCAGCAGCCGCGGUAAUACGGAGGGUGCAAGCGUUAAUCGGAAUUACUGGGCGUAAAGCGCACGCAGGCGGUUUGUUAAGUCAGAUGUGAAAUCCCCGGGCUCAACCUGGGAACUGCAUUUGAAACUGGCAAGCUAGAGUCUCGUAGAGGGGGUAGAAUUCCAGGUGGUAGCGGUGAAAUGCGUAGAGAUCUGGAGGAAUACCGGUGGCGAAGGCGGCCCCCUGGACGAAGACUGACCGCUCAGGUGCGAAAGCGUGGGGAGCAAAACAGGAUUAGGAUAACCCUGGUAGUCCACGCUGUAAACGAUGUCGAUUUUGGAGGUUGUGCCCUUGAGGCGUGGCUUCCGGAGCUAACGCGUUAAAUCGACCGCCUGGGGAGUACGGCCGCAAGGUU
rnacentral:rRNA from 1 species